rnacentral:lncRNA from 10 species
GGGUUUCACUAUGUUGGCCAGGCUGGUCUUGAAUUCCUGACCUCAGGUGAUCCACCCGCCUUGGCCUCCCAAAGUGCUGGGAUUACAGGUGUGAACCACUAUGCCCAGCUGAUUUACAUCUUUUUUUUUUUUUUUUUCUGAGACGGAGUCUUGCUCUGUUGCCCAGGCUGGAGUGCAGUGGCGUGAUCUUGGCUCACAUCAACCCCUGCCGCCUGGGUUCAGGCAAUUCUCCUGCCUCAGCCUCCCGAGUAGCUGGGAUUACAGGCACGUGCCACCACUUCGGGCUCAUUUUUGUAUUUUUAGUAGAGAUGGGUUUUCAGCAUCUUGGCCAGACUGGUCUUGAACUCCAGACCUUGUGAUCCACCCAUCUUGGCCUCCCAAAGUGCCGGGAGUGUGGAGUGCUGGGAGUGUCUGCUGUGCGGAGGAUGGACUGGUUGCGGGUGAGAGGGCUGGAUGUAUAGGUAGGACAAUCAGGUAGGUGGCUGCAGUCACAACAACGGCGACCUGGACCAGUUGACGGCCUGGUGCUCGGAAACAAAAGUCGCUGAGAUGAUGGAAAUCCAUAAGGCUCAUCAUCAUACGUUCUGGUGAGGCUACAGCACACACAGCAUGAAUCGGGUUUGGAGAAUGGAGCCUAUGCCACACAGAUAGGAAUUUAAUCUGGGGAAUUAUCAGCAGCUGACAGAGCAAACAACGGGAAGGCUGGACUCCCGCUGAAGGCAGAGACCUCAACUUUGGAUUUCUGUAUCCCCGGUUCCUGGUAAGGGGAUUUGUAGGCGCUCAAGAAGUCCAGCUGUCGCAAGAGUGAAUGCCUGUGACCAGAGGGGACUGAAAUGGGCAUCAGGCAGUGCACCCGUGGUGGCUCCCGCAGCAGGGGGGUCGCACCCCACCGCCUGUUGCUAGGAGAUGAUGGGCUUCGGAAGGAUGUGCAGUGUUGCAUAGCAACACCUCCCCACUGUUCCAUCACUCAGAAUGGACAGCACCAAGCAAUUCUUACAGCAAGAGUUUUUUGACCUAUUUCAGCUAAAAGCAGGAAAGAUCUUUCUGUCUCAGCUCAGAUUAUAUAAUUUUUUAAAGGAUCACAAGAGCAAAAAAUACGGAGGAUCCCCAAUAUUCACACCCAAGAACUACUUUGUUGUUAGCAGGUUAACCUGUGUAUCAGAGGGACAUUAGGAGGAUUGCCAAGAGUUCACAGCCUGCCUUCUGCUCCCUGCAGGGACCCUUCGCUUAGCUGUAGCUGGCUACCCACUGGGCCUGGGGUGCUCCCCACACCCCUCCUGCAUGCUGGCUUGGCCCUACCAGGGAUCGCAAAGCCCAGCUGGUCACCAAAGACAGAGUUGCUCUCUCAAUGUGGCUGAUGUUUUUCUAACCAGCUUAGCCCAGAAAGAACAUUUGGAUUCAUUGCCCAUCUGUAAUGCAGAGAACCUUUGUAUAUACUUAAGUUCCUUGAAAUAUUUGCACUGAAAAAGGCACACAUGAAUUUAAGAGUCAUAAAUGGGACCAAUUUCCCUGAACUGUGCCCAAGAAUGUGCAGUGCAUGCUCUGUGACUGUUUUUCCUUUCCUUCUGGUAACUACUAGCUUCCACAUGGGAGAAGGUUCGCAGGCGGUGGGGUGUCCAGGCUGCACGAGUGGCUGAAGAAGAGCUCCCUGCUAGUCUCUGUGGGUACAGAGAAGGCCCUAUGUGGCCGUAGAGCCCUUGGAAGCUCAGCCUGCUGAGAGCGGUGCUCACCAGGUUCCACUGAAGCUGAACAGCACUGGAGCUAGGAAUGCAGGAAGGAGGCGCUGCCCACACCCUGAGCUCUCAGUCUGGCUGGGAAGCCGGCAGUAGCUGUGUCCUAUAAAGGCACCUCGAACACUGGACAACACUGUAGCUCAUGCUUGAAUGAAGGUUCUCUAACAAGUGUGUUUCCUCCGGAAGGCACAUCACAGCCUUCCUGCACUUACGAACAAUUAGCUCUUCAGCACUCUGCCUGGGGACCACACUAAACAGCAAAAUCACCACCCAAAAGCACAAAAUGCAAAAAAUGUGGCACUAAAUAGACCAAGAAAAGACCCUGUGUGCAGAGAACAACAGGCAGAGCCUUGCCUUGUUUGACCGUGGCAGGGAACUGCAUGUCAGGCAACUCACAUUUUUCACAGCUUUGCACAUGUCUGCAAAUGAACACAGAAGCACCAUGAGUACUCAGUUUUGGGGUUACAAAUGCGUUUUAGAGAGUAGGUGAAUUUGCAAAUGUGGAAUCCAUGACUAAUGUGGAUCACUAUAUUAUGUAUGUAUGUGUGUACAUAUAUGGCAUUGUCUAUGAAAGUUGAACAUGUACACACAUACAUUUCUGUGCAUAUGUGUGUAUUUAAAAAGUAAAACUUAAAUGCAUUUACACCCACCGGCUCCAGGAUAGAUGAGGAGGCAUGACCCUAAGGCUCUCCUCAGUGCUGCCUUUUCCAGCUGCCUGCAGUAAUCUCUGGUUACUUGGCUUCAAGACUCCUUAGAGUAGAAAUUUCCAAACCCCACAUUGCCUCAAUCAGACCAUCCUUGCUUAUAUAGCAAUUCCCAGGGCAUCUUGUUACAAAUGGGUCCUAACUCCAUUCCUGACCUACUCAAACAGAAUGCAAGGGAGGAAAGGCUGGAGCCUUGGAAUGUGAAUGUGUACUUAACACAGUUUACAAAGCUCACAAUUCAAGUUUGAGAAUCACUGUGAAUAAGUUUCCAGCCAGCUGGAGAAAUCAGUGGCUGACACUGUUUGACCCUGAGACAAGAGGCAAAUCGCCAGUGUGGACCACCCUGCCCAUCUUGUGAGCAGACGAAAUCAGUCAAAAGUGUUGUAUGCUUCGUGAAAGACAGCGGGCAGUUUCGUUUAAAGCUGGGUAACCUAGAGAGAAAAAAUAAAAAUAAAAAUAAAAUAAAAGAGGGCCGGGUGUGAUGGCUCACACCUGUAAUCCCAGCACUUUGGGAGGCUGAGGCAGGCAGAUCACGAGGUCAGGAGAUCGAGACCAUCCUGGCUAACAUGGUGAAACUGUCUCUACUAAAAAUACAAAAAAAAAAAAAAAAUUAGCCGGGCAUGGUGGCGGGCACCUGUAGUCCCAGCUACUUGGGAGGCUGAGGCAGGAGAAUGGUGUAAACCCCGGAGGCGGAGCUUGCAGUGAGCCAAGAUCACGCCACUGCAAGAGAUCACGCCACUGCACUCCAGCCUAGGCAACAGAGCGAGACUCUGUCUCAAAAAAAAUAAUAAAAAAAAAAUUUAAAAAAAGAUAAUAAAAUAAAAUAAAAUAAAAGAAUUGUGUGUGCUUAAUGAGAGGGAAAAAAUAAUUAAGCUGGAAACUCAGGAAAGGUUAUGUAACAUCCCUGUGUCUCAUGUGUAAAGUGAAAGUAAUAGUAGUUAUCUCUUAAGGUUGUCAAAAAUGUUAAAAAUGUGUGUUGAGCAGCACUUCCCAUGUGGGAAUAGUUAACAACCACUUAUUAUUAUCACCAUCACCUGUUUUCCCCUGGCGCUGAGCUGACCCCCAGGGCAGGCUGUUUCCUCGUGCUCACUUUCUCAGCCACCGGAAUCUCACCUUUUUUC